GGGUCCAUAAGCUCUAAACGGCAAGAGCACCCAAACUUGCGAGUUUUGGGAGGUUGGUGGUUCGAAUCCACCUGGGUCCU
rfam:Citrus sinensis cultivar Ridge Pineapple sweet orange scaffold00002_contig_421, whole genome shotgun sequence.